AUUGAACGCUGGCGGCAGGCCUAACACAUGCAAGUCGAACGAGUGGCGGACGGGUGAGUAAUGUCUGGGAAACUGCCUGAUGGAGGGGGAUAACUACUGGAAACGGUAGCUAAUACCGCAUACCAUCAGAUGUGCCCAGUUGGGAUUAGCUCGUGGGUGGGGUAAAGGCUCACCUAGGCGACGAUCCCUAGCUGGUCUGAGAGGAGGACCAGCCACACUGGAACUGAGACACGGUCCAGAAUCGUACGGGAGGCAGCAGUGGGGAAUAUUGCACGAUGGGCGCAAGCCUGAUGCAGCCAUGCCGCGUGUAUGAAGAAGGCCUUCGGGUUGUAAAGUACUUUCAGCGGGGAGGCGUUACCCGCAGAAGAAGCACCGGCUAACUCCGUGCCAGCAGCCGCGGUAAUUC
rnacentral:rRNA from 1 species